AAUCCCUUCCUUCUCUUCAUCUUUGCCAGGAAAUGCUUCUCGGAUCCACAUUUGAUUCUAGCUAUCACUAACCCAGUCUCGCAGAGUAAAAAGGAUCUACUAUGAUUAUUUUCCCUGCCCCAUACAAUACAGCUGACGUUUCAGUAGUUUCCCUACCCCCACCAAGGGGGAGUGACCAAGCAGCUAUGCGGUCCUUACCUGCCUUCUGGGUUCAACUGCAAUACUGUUUUCUUAAUGAAGAAACAACUAAAAAACAUGGUCCAAGCUGAUGAGGAGACUGCACAUCAACUACUAUAAAAUGACACCAUGUGGAAGAAGCCACAGAAGAGGAAUAACCUGACUCUGCGAUACUCUAAGCUACUUCACAUGCUUGGAGAGCCUGAGACUGGGAAAGUCAAUGAUGGCUGAAGGCUGUGUUCCUCCCAGUCCAGCACUGAGCUUGCAGCUGAGGUAUUUUCUUAACACUGCUGUGCAGAAUGGGCUGUAAUAUGCAGAAAAAUGUACACAGCACACGUUCCCACCUCCCAGUCUGUGGCAGCAAGCCGGAAGGCAGCUAACAUUAAUGCAAUGCUGCCAUACAGUAGAAGAGCCACUUCUGCAGGAGGAGGAAUCUACUUUCUGCACACUUAAAAAUCUAUCACCAAUUUAGCAGGCAAAACCAGCAAGAACUUCCCUUCAAGAAGGACUAAAAGAUAACAUCAUCAGAAGUGCUUUCUCAUAUCCAGGCUGAACUACAGAACACCAAUGAGCGUCCUCUGCGUAAGAACAUCAGACACUCCCAAAGCAAAAGAGACAUUCUCUUCUGCAGCAACCUGAAACAAAGGAAACAUUUAACCAGACCCAGACUUCUUGUUCAGUUACUUCCUCCAAGAAGCCGUUUCAUUUUUAGCAAAGUCUGUCUGAUGAAGUGAUGACACACCAGCCAGACUGCAGACUGACCUGCUGUGUGACCGGUGAGAGGAUUUGGAGGAGCAGCUCAUAGAUCUUGCAGAGCUGGUUCUGUGGCACAGGCCAGUGUCCCGCGUUGGGGGAGAGCUUACAUGAACAGCUGGGAGCUGCUGCUGCUUCAGAGCUUCUGUUCUGGCACCAGAGGCUGUGUUAAAUAUGAAACAGUUGAAAAGUAUUCACUAAAAACCACUUACAGCAGCCAUUUAACCAAUUAAAAAAUCCCACAAGAAUUGCAGCAGUGUGUAUUUGGCUUUGGUUUAAAAUGUAUAUUACAAAUGCAUGUAUUUUGGUUGGUUGUUAUACAAGUGGAAGAAAAAGGAGGAUUGUCUGUUGUUUUGUUAUCCUUAAUAACAAGUACUCCUUCAGAUAAGUCCUCUUUUCAAUCACUAACAAUGAUUUGAUUUCCUCUUCCGUGAGCCUGACAGUUGCUAUUCUGUAGUGGGAUUUCAGGGGAAUCACACCACAAGUAGAAGAUAGGAAAUUUAUUAUUAUGUUUUUAAAAAGUAAGUAUUCCCAGCCUAAAAUACUGAAAAUGAUGCAAUGUGUUCAUAUACCAGAUAAUAAAAAAUGUACUGUUACAUCU